rnacentral:rRNA from 1 species
UACGGGGGGGGCAAGCGUUGUUCGGAAUUACUGGGCGUAAAGGGCUCGUAGGCGGCCAACUAAGUCAGACGUGAAAUCCCUCGGCUUAACCGGGGAACUGCGUCUGAUACUGGAUGGCUGGAGGUUGGGAGAGGGAUGCGGAAUUCCAGGUGUAGCGGUGAAAUGCGUAGAUAUCUGGAGGAACACCGGUGGCGAAGGCGGCAUCCUGGACCAAUUCUGACGCUGAGGAGCGAAAGCGUGGGGAGCAAACAGG